CCUAUCUGCAGUCGAGCGAAUCAAUAGGAGCUUGCUCCUGUUUGGUUAGCGGCGGACGGGUGAGUAACACGUGGGCAACCUGCCUGUAAGACUGGGAUAACACCGGGAAACCGGUGCUAAUACCGGAUAAUCCUUUUCCUCUCAUGAGGAAAAGCUGAAAGUCGGUUUCGGCUGACACUUACAGAUGGGCCCGCGGCGCAUUAGCUAGUUGGUGAGGUAACGGCUCACCAAGGCGACGAUGCGUAGCCGACCUGAGAGGGUGAUCGGCCACACUGGGACUGAGACACGGCCCAGACUCCUACGGGAGGCAGCAGUAGGGAAUCUUCCACAAUGGACGAAAGUCUGAUGGAGCAACGCCGCGUGAGCGAUGAAGGCCUUCGGGUCGUAAAGCUCUGUUGUUAGGGAAGAACAAGUACCGGAGUAACUGCCGGUACCUUGACGGUACCUAACCAGAAAGCCACGGCUAACUACGUGCCAGCAGCCGCGGUAAUACGUAGGUGGCAAGCGUUGUCCGGAAUUAUUGGGCGUAAAGCGCGCGCAGGCGGUCCUUUAAGUCUGAUGUGAAAGCCCACGGCUCAACCGUGGAGGGUCAUUGGAAACUGGGGGACUUGAGUGCAGAAGAGGAAAGCGGAAUUCCACGUGUAGCGGUGAAAUGCGUAGAGAUGUGGAGGAACACCAGUGGCGAAGGCGGCUUUCUGGUCUGUAACUGACGCUGAGGCGCGAAAGCGUGGGGAGCAAAACAGGAUUAGAUACCCUGGUAGUCCACCCCGUAAACGAUGAGUGCUAAGUGUUAAAGGGUUUCCGCCCUUUAGUGCUGCAGCUAACGCAUUAAGCACUCCGCCUGGGGGAGU
rnacentral:rRNA from 1 species